GCUCUCGUAGCUCAGUCGGAUAGAGCAAUCGCCUCCUAAGCGAUAGGCCGCUGGUUCAAUUCCAGUCGAGAGCG
rnacentral:tRNA from 3 species